GCUUUUUACUCGUAUGCAUUUCAGGGUGUAGGGAUUCUCAAGGAAAACACUUUCCAUGGCUGGCAUGGGAGUUGAAGAAUUCUUGUGCAGCCAAAGUCUAGUUCUUGUGUUGCUCAUUUCUAUAUGUGCUAAAUGGAGGAUUUCUUUUUCAUCCGGAACCCUAGUAUUGCAGGAGAUAGUUGCUUUAUGGUAUUCAGGGUGGAAGCAGAUCACUUUAUCUUUUGUACUAGGGAUUUAAGAGGUUUAGGCAGAUGCUUGAAGGUUUAUUCAUACUUAUUGUGAAGCAGAUCAUCUGGAAAACUGGGGAGUUAUCAUGCUGAAGACAUUUUUCUCCUUAUUGAAGUUUUCCAAACAAACCCUUCCAUCUAGGGUGAAUUAUUGGUUUCAUUUGGCUGAGUAGGAGAUUUCAGAUAGAAGCCAUCAAUCCUGGCCCUCAAGGGUGGAAUGAUUUGAAGGUAGGUCGCUAACUGUUCCAAGAAGAUUAAAAGGGAUUAUGAAGCAUAGGAUUGAAGAUUUAUGUAAGGUAAUCAAAUGCAUACCUGGGGGGAUAUACCCGACAGAUCCUCGUAGAAAAGCAGUUGUGGUAGUAACAUGUCCUCUUGGUUUGUCACCUGAAAUGAGCUUUCCAAUACCAAAAUCUGCUACAUGAGCCACCAUAUCAUUGUCCAAAAGAACAUUUUGUGGUUUCAGGUCACAGUGUACAACUUGAACAGGACAACCCUCAUGAAGAUACUCCAAGCCAUUUGCAACAUCUAUUGCUAUUCCCAUUCUUUCCCUCAAUUUUAAUUCACUACCUCCUUCAUCUGACCCACCAGGGUAAAGAUGCUGUUCCAAGUUCCCAUUGCCUAUAUACUCGAGAACAAUAGCCUUGAAUCCUGAAUUCCAGGUCGAUCCUAUCAUUCUAACCAGAUUCCUAUGUCUAAUUUCAGACAGUAUUUGACACUCCCUUUUAAAACUUCUGUAACCCUGAACACACUCUUCUUGCAGAACCUUAACUGCCACAACAGUUUUUCCAUCAUUGAUGAUAGCUUUAUACACCCUACCAAAACUUCCUUUCCCUAACAGAUUAGCCUCAUCAAAACCGCCAGUUGCAAUUUCGAUUUCCCUUUCAGUUAAAGUUUGGGUUCCAUGAUGGGUUGGGGAACACAUUAGAAUUGCAGUCUCCGCACCUGCACUCCUAUUUUUGAAGAAGAAACGACGAACAGUGAGGGCGAUCAGCACAAAGAGAAGCAGAGAACAAGUUAUUAUUGCAAACAAGUAAUAAAUCCAUUUCCUUUUCUUGUGCUUUUGUUUCUGAAUUUCACAUGGAUGGAGACCCAUAAGUUUGGUGCCACCACAGAGCCCCAUAUUCCCCAUGAAUGAGCUGCUUCCUAGAUUUUUAUACCUCCCACUAUUUGGAACCUCUCCUGUUAAUCUGUUAUACGAUAAAUUGAGAUUCUUGAUCUUCUGGCUGUCACCAAUCCAGAUUGGAACAUUUCCUGUUAAAUUAUUGAAAGCCAAGUCCAGAUAUCCUAGAUCAAUGAUUUGCUUCAGGGACUCUGGGAUUGUACCUUCAAGCAUGUUGUGAGAGAGGUUCAGAUACUCCAUUGAAAUGCAUCUUCCAAUCGAACUUGGUAUCACUCCGAAGAAUUUAUUCGCUGACAAGUCAAUUGCCAGCACAGAUGCCAGAUUUCCAAUACUAGCAGGUAGUUCUCCUUGAAGAUUGUUGUUCGAAAGGUUGAGUGAAAGAGCCAGGUUUGAGAAAUGACCAAUUUCUGUGGGAAGAGAUCCUUGUAAGUUGUUAAAAGACAAAUCAAGAAGCAUUAGAAGAGAACAUUGGGUGAGUUGGAUGGGAAUUUUCCCUGUGAGGUUGUUGUGAGACAAGUAAAGAUAUCUCAACUGUGACAGAUUACCAAGAGAAGAUGGGAUUGUCCCACUAAUCAAAUUAUCACUAAGUUCCAGUAAACCAAGGUUAGCCAUCUGCCCAAGUUCAUCUGGAAUUGGCCCAAGAAGUUUGUUUCUUCCCAAGUGUAAUCUCUGCAACUGCCUAAGCUUCCCAAUUGUUGCAGGAACUCCAUUCAAAAAAUUAUACCACAGGUCUAGAGUCACAAGGCCGCUUAGAUUUCCAAUUCAGCUGGUAGGUCUCCUGUUAUUUUGUUAUUUCGAAGAUUCAAGUAAUAGAGAUCUUUGGAAAGACUUCCAAUUGAAGCCGGUAAACUUCCUGCAAACAGACAUGCCCCUAAGUGCAGUUUCUGUAGACGUGAACAAUUAGUGAGAGGAGUUAGAAAACUGAGGGAAGAGUUGUUGGAACCGCUCACCAGGUUAUUGCUAUGAAGGUAAAGUCUCUCAAGUUUCUUCAACUUCCCCAACUCAGGAGGGACUUCCCCCUCUAACUGGUUGAGGCUAAGAUCAAGCAGUGUCAGCUGAGAAAGAUUGGACAGGGUCACUGGAAUUUUCCCAGAAAGUUGGUUUUGUUGGAAGUACAAUCUCUGCAAGUUAUGGAGCUUUGCCCCCAAUUCUAAAGGGAUUGUUCCCGUUAACCGAUUCUCAAUCAGUGUAAUGUGACGCAGGGCAGUGCAAUUACUGAUGGAUGCAGCUUGGUUAGAUUCGAAAGAAACGAUGGUAUAGCUCCAGUGAGGCUGUUCUGAGAGAGACAUAGGUAUGUCAAGUUUGUCAUUUGGCCCAGUACAGCAGGAAUGCUUCCAGUCAGAUUGGUAUAGUCCAAGUCUAUUGUCUCCAGGCUCCAGCAGCCUUUUAUUGAGGCUGGAAUAUUGCCCCCAAGCUUAUUACGACUCAUGUUUAUGAAUGUUAACUCAGAAAGCUCUCCAAUGGUAGCUGGAAUCCCUCCAUACAAGCUGUUGGCUUGCAAAGAGAGGGUGGUGAGAUGGGAUAGAUUGGAUAUGUAUGGUGAGAUAACUCCCUCUAAGCGCAUGUUUAUGAGCUCAAUGGCUAUGACCCGGUUCUUAAGCUGCUGGUGGCAUGUAAUCCCUGUCCAGUUGCAGAAGAACAUGGUUUCAUUCCAAUCUUGGAGAUGACCAUCUGGAUCACCUGUUAUGCCUUGUUUGAAUUUGAGCAGAGAUUGACAAUCAGUGGAGUUUUUGCAGAGGAAUGUGGAAGUUGAUAGUAGAGCAAGAAAACUAAGAGAGAAAAAUACUGCCACAGCAACGGGAUUGUUCUGAUUGUAUGCCAUUCUCUCUCUCUCACUGUGUGUGUACAACUUUUGGAAGUAGAUGUUAGAUUUUAGGCCAAAAGAUUUUUUUCUCACUUGUUAGGUAGUAGUUUAAAUAGAUGGGCCCAGUUGCUCAAAUGGUUCAGACAACUUGGCCUAGUGAGGGGCAGGUGGUGAGCCCUCAUUUAUCUCUGGGACCAUAUAUUAGGGCUUGACUUUUAUGCCAUAGAGCAAUCCUUUUCGUAUAGCCAUCACCUGUCUGGGCCCCUCAGUCUCUUAACUACAUUCAAUCCCUUCCAUGCUGUUUGACAUUUUCUUCCGUGACAGAAUUAAUAGCUAUGGAGUUUCCCAAAA